rnacentral:rRNA from 1 species
AUUGAACGCUGGCGGCAGGCCUAACACAUGCAAGUCGAACGAGUGGCGGACGGGUGAGUAAUGUCUGGGAAACUGCCCGAUGGAGGGGGAUAACUACUGGAAACGGUAGCUAAUACCGCAUACCAUCGGAUGUGCCCAGAUGGGAUUGGCUGGUUGGUGGGGUAACGGCUCACCUAGGCGACGAUCCCUAGCUGGUCUGAGAGGAUGACCGGCAAAACUGGAACGGGUAACCGUCCCGAACUCCUACGGGGGGAAGCAGGGGGGAAUAUUGCACAAGGGGGGCAAGCCUGAUGCGGAAAUGCCGGGGGUAUGAAGAAGGCCUUCGGGUGGUAAAGUACUUUAAGCGGGGAGGCGGUACUCGCAGAAGAAGCACCGGCUAACUCCGUGCCAGCAGCCGCGGUAAUUC